rnacentral:piRNA from 2 species
UCCAUGUCUUCCUGAUCACUGAUUGUCACA